rnacentral:rRNA from 1 species
UACGUAGGGUGCAAGCGUUGUUCGGAAUUACUGGGCGUAAAGAGUGUGUAGGCGGUGCUGUAAGUCUGGUGUGAAAUCUCCCGGCUCAACUGGGAGGGUGCGCCGGAAACUGCAGUGCUUGAGGGUGGGAGAGGUAAGCGGAAUUCCUGGUGUAGCGGUGAAAUGCGUAGAUAUCAGGAGGAACACCUGUGGUGUAGACAGCUUACUGGACCACUUCUGACGCUGAGACACGAAAGCGUGGGUAGCAAACAGG